CCUCCUCCCAGCGGCAGCGAGACGGCGGCCGAGAGACUCACCGACGACCUCCUCGUCGAGAUACUCUCGCGCGUGCCCGGCAGGUCGCUCUGCCGCUUCAAGUGCGUCUCCAAGCACUGGCUCGGCCUCAUCAACGACCGCACCUACCGCCGGAAGUUCCCCCGGACCCUGACCGGCUUCUUCUUCAGCAGCACCACGGAGGAGCAAUUGGUACAUCCAGUUCUUCCUUUCACCAAUUUAUCCGGGAGCCGCAGUAGCACCAGUCUCACCUUCCUGCCCAACGGCCUAAACGCCUUUCUUUUGGACUGCUGCAAUGGCCUCCUUCUCUACGACGUAUCUUCCCAUCUUGGCAAGCGCCGUUACGUCGUGUGCAAUCCUGCCACGGGGGAAUGGACUGAGUUGCCGCAUUGCGAUCAUGCCGGCUGGGUGGGUAUUGUGCACUUAGGUUUUGAUCCAGCCGUGUCCCCCCACUUCUAUGUGUUUUUGUUGACGGACCAACUAAAUGGAUUUGGUCUCCCGGGUGUGGACGUCUGUUCAUAUGUCUAUUCAUCGGAAACCGAGAGGUGGGUUCAUCAGGAGAAGAAAUGGUACUGGGAUAUUGAUCUCGUUCGUGUUCACUCAGCUGCAUAUCUUAAUGGUUGUCUGCAUUUUUUCGCCGAAGUCAAUCACAAUACCUUGUGUCUAGCUGCCGACAAGGAGGCGGGAACAAUGAUAUACUCUCAUGUUCCUCCUCUGAAUGAUGGUUUUAUGCAGCAGUCACAGGGCUGCUUGUAUUAUGCUGGUUUUGGAAGAGAUGACAAUGAUGAUCAUGUAGUUCGACUGCUAGUUUAUGUUCUCGAAGACUAUAAUAAUAAAGAAUGGAUACUGAAGCAUAGCAUUGAAAGUUCACAUCUACUUGGAGGGCGACAUGAUGUAGACAUUGAGGAGGACUUUUGUUGA
rnacentral:rRNA from 1 species